rnacentral:rRNA from 1 species
UACAGAGGUCUCAAGCGUUGUUCGGAUUCAUUGGGCGUAAAGGGUGCGUAGGCGGCGCGGUAAGUCGGGUGUGAAAUCUCGGGGCUUAACUCCGAAACUGCAUUCGAUACUGCCGUGCUUGAGGACUGGAGAGGAGACUGGAAUUUACGGUGUAGCGGUGAAAUGCGUAGAUAUCGUGAGGAAUACCAGAGGCGAAGGCGGCUACCUGGACAAUUGCUGACGCUCAGGCACGAAAGCGUGGGGAGCAAAAGGG